UAAGUAACGGACUUUUCAAUU
rnacentral:piRNA from 1 species